AUAUUCUUAAAGCGGUUCCUAUUCGCCAUUAAACGAUCAAUUACUUAUCAAACUAUUUGCCAUUAAUCGUUAAGCGUAAAUUUUAUGAAUUAAUCUCGAUAAUCUUUUGUGUUUUAUGAAAACGAGCGUACACACGAUCAUUUUUUCACAUUUUUAACUAAGUUAAGUUGUUGACAAAAUAUGAAUAUGAAUAUAUAUUCAAAAUCGGUCUGGUUUUAAAUUUUUUUUGAUAUUUUAAAAGGUAAUUUGAGAAAAUGAUACAAAAGGGGAGUCAGUCACUCAACGAAUAAUUAACUACUCUGUUAGAAGAGAUUUUUAGAAAAUAUAUUCAAAAUAACAUUGGCUCGCAAAUAGUAUAAAUAAUGACUAUCAUAGAAUUUAUAUCUGUCAUAAAACUAAUUCGACGUUUGGAGCUCUAAGUUUGGAAAAUGAGACAUUUUGAUGUGUUUCAACAUUUCCGCAAAAAACAAUAAAUUUAUAGAUGAAAUUGUCCAUAACCAGGAAGAAAUAUAUAUUAAUAUAAUAUAACUGUAUUUCUUUAAGUUCUAAGUAUGGAUUAUUUCUAAAGGACCAUUGAAAGUUACAUAUAUGUAUUUGUGUUCACAAACACAAAAAUUUGUUACAUCUAAAGUGACUCAAUUAAUUAGCUUCACCUUAAGAGCAUAACGAAAAAUGAUUAGCAUAUCUAAUAUAGAAAAAAUAAAAAUUGUCCACAAAACCAUACCGUAGUUUUUGUUUUGCACGGUGGUUGAUAAAUAUCAACUUAGAAACGGACAGAGACUGCAUCCAAACAUAUUUGAAUAAAUGAUAUUCUGCUUGAAUUCGCAGUGAAAGUAAAACAUUUGCAAGAAUAUAUGAACGGAUCAAACCUUGUUAGUGAAACAACAAAAAAAUAAAUAAAGCAAAUAAUAAUAAUUAAGCAGGAUUUAUUUAAAUUUUUAAAAGUAAUAUGACUGGUAGCCCUUUUCAGUAAAAAUUAGACCGAAAGUUAGUUAAAUAUAAAGUUUAAUUAAAAGUAAAUCAAUUUUGAGACAUUCAGUUAUAUUCUAAAUGUUGCCAGAAUUUAGCUUUUGAGAUUUCUUCCAGCUAGGUAUUAACGUUUAAUGAAAUGAAAUAAGAAAAUCGAUUACAUUGGAUGAAAAAAUUUGUCACUUUAAUCUAAUCAAGAAUUGAUAAAAUAUAUGUCGGUGGUGCAAACAGUGAAUUUAACUUCUGGUUAAGGAUAUCAAUUAAAAACUCUAAACAGAUUAAUAAAACAAAAAAAACAAAAAAACCUUCUGUUCUCAGUUUAUGUUGCACUGCAGGUGUGUCCAAAGCUUUUGCUAAAUUUGAAGGCAAUAUUCCUGUUUUUGCGGCCGAGAUGAUGCUUACCACAGGCUUAGGUCGAUUCAGAAUUUGAUGUUAAUCAAUAACAUACAUAUAGUUUAUAGGGGUCUCACAAGUUUCCUACUAGAUGCUGCGAACGUUUUGACAAAAUUAACAUAUCUUUAUUCUAUGGUGAUGAGUAUAAGAAGUGCCCCGCACAUCGUAUGAUAUGUGUUUUGAACGAAUGGGUCACUCAUAAAAAGCUGCUAAUACGUUGCAAGAGAAGAAUUUUAUUCGGAUUAAGUCGAAUAAAUAAAUAUAUUUCUAUUCGACUUAUAUCGUGUAUAGGACAUAUUGGAAAGUACGAUUUUUUAUGCUCUUAUAUAACUAUAAAUCAAGCAAAAAUUUUGUAUGCGAUUCUUUGAUAACUAGGGAUGAGUCCUCGACUAAGUUUAGCUUCAUUCCAAGUCUAACGUAGGAACUUUGGAAAGAAAAAUUUUUCCCUUACCCUUUAAUAAAAUUUCAGCCCUAUCUACUGAAAUCAUCGAAUUGUUCAUUCUAUAAAUUUUUUCCGUUAAAGGAAAGCUAAAAAUAGAAUAACAAGAACAAGAAAGUAUCCCAAAUAACAGUUGUUUUAAACAAGCAGUGCAUUGGGUAAAAACUGCUAAUAAUGAAAUAAAACAUAAGAACUGCAGCGCGAUUCGUAUCAACGCUCAGCGCACGCUUAGACUUCCAGAUCCCAGAUGUAGUUUGUGUUGUAUUGACGAGAACGUAUUUCAAAACUCGUAAGCAUUUUUUUCUCUGCUUUUUUUUUUCAUAAAACAAAAAACCUAACCUUCUUGCCAAAGAACAAUAAUAUUCUUCAUCUAUUUUUGUCACAAGAUGCUAAAAACUAGACUUAUUUUACCAUGAAAAUGCCAUAAAAAUUCUUAUAUUUGAGAGCUCGUCACAAAAUGAUCUCAGCUCAUUUCAAUUUUCCUCAAUUAUUUAGUAUAGUGAAAUGCUAUUGUUUACCAUUUAAAAUGGAACCAUUUUUUAUAUGAUGUUUUUUAAGCAUUUUUUGGGGAGAGCGCUUGGAAAGGUGAUCUAAUCCAAUCAUAGCAAAUUUCAUUGCAAUUUCUCGAACAUUUCGAAGAUUUGUGAGCAGAUAUCAAAUAGAAUAGAUGCGGAGUCUAUUGUUAAAAUAAAAAUUGGAACUAUCCACAAUUCCAUCUGGCUGUUGUACAUAUCCCCAUCAAGCUGUAUGUUAUCAUUUGCGAUAUAAGGGGCGUAAUUAAUGAUAUAUAUUUAAAUUGAACUAAGGGAAAUGUUAUCAAAGCGUAUGUGUUCUCAUACAGUAUCUAAAUAAAUGUUCUUGUGCAACGGUUUACACCAUCACCACCGACAAUUACGUUCACAUAAUUAGAUUAAAGGAAAGAUUAACGAUAAAAAUUUGCUUUUUGCUGUUGGUAUUUGUUGUCGUUCAGAAAAUAUCUGUUAUCCUUAAUUUAACGUAAAUGAAUUGAGGCCAUGAUACAGGAACGCUUGUAUAUGGUUCCCUGUUCCGCUUUCGUUUUGAACUGUUAGGUUUCGAAUAACUGGAAAGAUCUCAGGAUUUUGCAAUGAUAUGCUUAACACAUCUACAUCAUUUGAUAGAGGUAGAGCAGAUAGAGCUGGAUGACUAUUAUUACUAUUCAUCAAAAUGUUGAACUAUUUAGGUAAAUCGAAGUAGGUCUGCGCAUUUAAAAUUUAGAUUAUGGCACUUACCUUUCACGUCCAGGUGGGACAUUCCGAAUUUUUACUUGUUUUUUUGUUAUCACACUUGCAAAUUCUUGACAGAGAAGCAUUUCUUCGUAUAUCGUUCUUCUUUAUACAAAAUAGGAAAAAGAAAACAAUAACUAAUUAUAUCAAUAAAUGUAAACGCAUGCGAUUAUUUGUAUGAGUGCUUGAAUAAUAGCAUGUAAUAUAUUCACAUUUGUAAUAUGUGAUUGCAUGUAUUUUGAUCAGCGUUAUCUAUUAAUGAAAAAGUUAAAGUAAUGCAAAACAUAUAAAAUGAUUCCGUAAUUCGUUAAUUUCGAUCGUGUUCUCUAUAUAAAGUAAUUGAAUUCCAUUUCGUAUUAUUGAAUUAUUCAAGUGCAUGCAGACACCAACUAUAUGAAACGUUCAAAAUUGCAUUUUCAACAUUCAUUACUUUUGUUGUUCGAAUCUGCUGUCAGAUUUGAACAAUUCCAUCAAACACUUUUAGAAGUCCAAGGUGACGCUGCGUCAUCGUCAAAGCUGUGCUCAAACUCUCGAAACACUUUCGUAUAGCUUAGCAGAUGACGAAUGAAUUGUCUCCAGAGAUUUACAUAUGAUGGGAAAAAUCCAAAAUUAGAGAAACUGACUGCCAUACGAAUUGACUGAAAAUACGAUUACGAACCAUUUCAACAGCUUGCUGGGCAAAAAGAGACUGGAAACGAAUAGUGGCUCUAUUACGCCAAUCUCAAGCGCAAAAAAUGAUCGGUUCAUCCACAUCGACACCGAAGCGGAAUAUUCAUGCCCAUAAAGCUUUGCAAUGCAUCUGGCGGAAUGGCAACAAGGUAUAGUAAUGUAUUAUGAGCUGCGAAAAGCGAAUGAAACUGUUAUUGCAGAUGCCUACCGAUUGUCAAAUGAACAAAUUGAACGAUGCAAAAGAGAUCUGCAAUAGGGGCUAACAUACGCAUAAUCAUGCUCUUGCAUCGCUCGCACACACCUUAUGACAGUUGUAAAGGAUACACUGUUGUAGCGCGAAUAAGCAGUUUUUCCGCUCUCCUCGCUAUGGCGCUCUCUGAUUAUCACUUGCUUAGAUCGAUGUAACAUGGCUUGGCUGGCACACAAUUUCGAAAUGAUGAAAAAGCGCAAAAAUGGAUCGAUGAUUCAAUCGCUACCAAAUAAAUAUCGUUUUCUCGACACGAUAUCGCCAACCUGCCAAGAGGAUAAGAAAAAGUUGUAGAAAAUGAUGGAAAAUCUUUUAAUUAAUAUAUGUUGUAUCAAUUUUUCUCAAUAAAUGAUUUCUUUUUUUUUUUUUUUUAAAUAAAAAAAUGAUCAAAAUACAUGCAAAUACUUAAUAUCUAUGUAUUAGUGCAAAGUUAAAGAUAUGGUCUGAUGCGUCUAACGUCUUCUCUGUUUAAUUUAAUGGAAAAACUAUGUAAGACUAUUACACUACUUUAGGUAACAUUUCUAUGAAGGAGUUUAAAAUGUUCUAAAAGCAAA